CUUUGGCAGUAUUUCCGACAACAUAUCUCUUACGAGUUGACUUGUUUCUAGAAGAACAUUAUUUAUUUUUACUGUACGGUUAUGUUAAAAAAAGCUUAUUAAAAUAUAUUUACAUUAAUAAAAUGAUAAUAUUUUAUUUUCAUAGUAUUUAAAACAAUUUUUGUUUCUGCUGUGGCAAUAAUGCUGAUUUUUUGUUUGUUUAAACUUGUUUGAAGAAUUUGACUUUUGGUUAUCUGCAGAUAAUGAUUAGCUUAUUUUAGUAAUAUUUGAAGAACAUUUUAUUAUAUUUAUAAUUACUUGAUCCUAGUUACUUGGUGACAGUCGUCUAUUGGAUGUAAUACACGUGGAAGAGAGAAAAUAAUGGAUAGUAAAGAGGAUCAUGAUUAUCAUGCCCGUAGAAGAUACAAGUGCUCUUCUAAAAAUGCUAUAGUGGCACGCCAAAACAGGAUUAAAAAGAAAGAAUAUUUAAAAUCUUUGGAAGAAAAACUUUCACAGCUGUCUAGUGAAAAUGCUGAUCUGCGGCUGAGACUUGAUAAAAACGAUAAGGAGUUGCAAGAAAUCCGACUUGAGAACAAGUACUUGCGUAGUGUAUUUGCCAACAGAAAAGAAAUAGAAAAACUAUUAAGAGUUGUUAAAAUUGGUACUGGAUUGGAUGUAACAACUUCGUUAAAACAGCGUUCAAGGGUGUCGUCUCCACCUGCAAGGCAGAUUCGCGUCAGUGAUCGGAAGGCUUGCAGACUUCGCCUUCCGAUAGAUGCUGACCAAAAGUCGAGAUGUGUGUAAUCACCAUUCUUGCUGUUCCCCAGCAGGUUAAGUAUAACUUCAUGGUCUGUAAUUUUUAUGCAUCUAUUUUUUUUAUAAAUGUCUUAGAAACUAUUACUUAUCUCUAAAAUACAUAUUUAAUGGAAUUAACUUUGUAGUACUCUAAUUUGGUACAUGUGGCAGUUUCGAGCACUUAGUGUGGAAAACUAAUGCAUGUAAACAAAAUGCAGACAUUAUUAUAGUGUAUGCAAAAGCACAGAAUAAAUUUCACCAACUACUGGACCCAAAAGUGUUGUAUUCUAAACCUUCAUGUUGAAAAGUUGGAUUGGUGUUGCAUAAUAUGACGUGAUGAGUGACUUUGUUAUAAUAUGUUUAUGAGUAUGAAAAAUAAUGUCAGGAAUCAAUAAUGGUGACCUAAUGCUCUGAUAAUAAUUGUUUGUUGCAUUCCUGGUUCUGUUAACAUACAAGUUUCUGGAAUUUCUACUGAACAUGAGAAAAACAAUUUUUUAUGUAUUUAAAUUAAAAUACCACUAUCUAAAUUUUCAAAAUUUAGCAAAGUACAUGUUUUUAUUUUUUAUUUUUAAAAGUAAACAUUCCUUUGAUAUUUCAAGCUCUUUAUAGUUGCGUUAAGCUAGUUCCGUACACAUAGUAAAUUGUGAUAAUAUUAAAUGCUGAUUCAUUAUUUUAACUUUAUUCCUUUAUUAUGUAUAGCUACAUUUUACACCAUUUGUUGUUGGUACACAGUCUUCUUUACAUUUUAGUUGACUACUUAAGUGAUUGAAAGUAGGGGAAAGAAGAUAAAUAUGUUUGUAGCCAUCUGCAUUUAAUUCAUUGCUUGAAAUUGCUGCAGAUGUUUGAACAAAUCUUGAAAAAAAAUUUUGCAUAACAGACUUUUAUAUCUAAAGUAAUGCUAAGUGUAUUUUCGAUUAAGUUAAUUUAUGCUUUUUCCUAUACAGUAUUUUAAUUAUUCAGUUUAAGGCUAAUGGCUUCACUGAAGUUGGAAGUUUGUUUACAAAUUUUCUAUGCUAUUAAAUUUAAAUUUGUGAGAGCUAAACAUCAAACCAUUGUACUUGUACGUGCCUGUUAUGAAGUUCAGGUAAGGGAUAAUCUGGUUGAAAGGAUGUGACCUAAUGUAAAAUACAUCCUAACACCAGCAUAAUAUUAAGUAAAAAUUCUUUACGUCAAUAAUACAUGCCAUGCAACAAUUUUUCUGCAUUUUGUUUAUUUAUUUAUUUAUUUUUAAUUUGCUCAUAAUUCGAUAAGUUGACUAAGUCGGUUAAGAGUGUUGUAGGUACAUUUGAGUUUACAAUAUAUAUUUUUUUUAUUUUCAUUGGCAUUUGUUUUGGCCUGUAUUGUUCAGAUGGUUAUGAAGUAAUACAGUUACAUACAAUCAAAUGGAUCUUUAAUGUAUUGAUGGGCUGGCCGUAUUUCAAAAGUUACAACUUAUGCAGUAUUUGUUGAAAUUUUUAGCUAUGAACUUGGUACUGAGCAAAUUAUUUUACUUUUCAGCUAGGAGAUGUGGCAACUGUUGAAGUUGGAAAGGUUUGUACUGUGGAUUCCAGGUAUUAAGUAAGAUAUUUAAGUUGAUUGUCAUUAGGUUGUGUAAAUUUAGUAUAAAAUGAUAAUGUACAUGUAUAAAAAAAAAGUUUGAAAUUAUAACUAUAUGGUUGAAUACA